rnacentral:lncRNA from 1 species
CCAUAGCAAGAACAAAGGAAGAAAAGAAAGAACAAAAACCCUAGAGUGAAAAUUCAAGAGAAAAUUGAUGGAUUUCAAGUAAUCAAGCCAUCAAAGGUAAAAUUUCUUGAUUUUGACUUGUGAUCUACCUUUCCCAUACAUUCUUUUGCAUUUUCCAUGGUUGAAUCACAUGAUUUCAUGAUGGGUAUCUUGCUGGCCGAACACUUAGAGAGAGGUUUUGAUGCUUGAUUUGGUUAGAUUUCAAUGUAUUUUAGUGUUUUUAGUUAGUUAGUGAUGUGUAGCAUGAAAAGCCAACAAGAAAAAUUCACUUCCUCCCAUCACCCAUCAUUGGCCGAAUUUUCCAUGUAGAGUGUGGAUGGUGGAUUUGAUUUUAUUUCAAGCGAAUUGGUUAGGAAAUGAUGAAUUACGGUGAGAAAAUCAAGUUGGAAAAAUCAUAGUGUUGAUGCACCCACCAUGGCCGAAAUUCCCAAGAGAAAAUGUGAAGAUGAUUUUGCUAAAUUUUAUGCUAUUUGACUUGUGUUUGAUGGUUUGGAGAAUUGGAAGAAAAAUGGAGUUAAUUGGAGUUGAAUUGGACAUAUUGGCCAAUUAAUCGAGUGAUAGAUCGAAUUAGGCCAAUACCGUUUUAUUUAGGUACACAAUUGAAUUUGUGUAGAACACCGUGUUUAGACGAUAAUCCGAACAAUUUGCAUUCCAUUUCAUGCAUCCGUAUAGUUUUAUAACAGUUUAGCACCAAUGUGGUAAAUUGUUUAAUUGUGCAUUAUGUCUAGGUGGUGAAUCCUCCGAUAAGGGCAAAGAAAUUGUACCCGAUGAUCAAUAGUCGGAGUACUCUAAAAAUUCGACUCCCGAAAUAGUGAGUAACCUUAUCAUCAUUUUAAUUAUCUAAAGUGGUCUUUUUAUUCGAUUUUGUGAAUUUUAUGGAAAAUGAGUUUAAAUGGUUAAUUUUUAGGUUUUAUAAACAAAAUGUGUUUAAAUGAAAUGAUUUUAUAAAUUGUCUUGAAAUUGAAUGAUGGCUUUGAAAAUAGAGUAAUUGGAGACCAUUUGAUGUAUUGUGAAUUUAUGGUUCUAAUUGAUUGGCUUAUGGCAAUAUUGGCAUGAAUGGCUGAAUUGGUAUUUGUGUUGAAAAUGUAUAAACUGUUGUUUGCCUUGAUAGGCUGGAUAAUGAUAAAAUUGCCAUGUCAUGCUGUUGAAUUUUAUUGAAUUGGUGGGUUAUUGAUUAGUCGCUGCAGUGGACGGGUUCCGUGGACCAGCUAUUAGAGGGGGCACGGUAACCCUAUUAUAUUCAUACCUUAGUAUGAGAGGCGCGGAUGGAUAACUCCUGAGGUUAACACUUUAGAGUUCACUUCAUGCCAAACCACCACGUGAGGGUGAACUCAGCCAACGCCAAGGAACGGCUAUGUUUUCAAAAUAAAAACAUGAUUUAUGCGUACAUAACUUUUUAACAGCCUUGGCGGACUCGGUUGGGAUAGCCCUCGGCCAAGGUAUCCCUGAUAACUGAGUAUGAGAAUGAUUUUGGCACGAGCCAAAGUUUUAAGAAAUUCAUAAGCCAUGUUGAUUACUCGAUUUAUAUGAAUUGAUUUUAUUUGGUUGAAAUGAGUUGAAAGGUGAUGAAUUACAGUAUGUUAAACUAUUUUAUCUGUCUCCAUUUACUCAGCUUUAGAUAUUUUAGAUGGUAUUUGUUUACUCACUGGGAUUAUAUAAUCUCACCACCCUCCUUUCCACCCAUUUCAGGCUCAGGAUAGUCGGUAGAUAGCUCAUUUCGUUGAGGGCUACAGUUGGACUUGCAUCCUCAAAAAUUGUAGGUUUACCGCUUUUGAUACUUUUGGUCGUUCGUGGGCCCACGUGUCACUGUAAAUUAAAUUUUAUACUUUGGUUAUCUGUAUUACAGUAUGUAUGAAUUUAUUUAGCUUUUACGCUACAAAAAUUAUUUACCGGUAACUCUAUAAAUAUUGUUUUAUAAGAAAAUAGAAUAUUUUAUUGAAUAUUUUUAUUAUAUUCAAAUAGUUAUAGUUUCACUUUAA